rnacentral:rRNA from 1 species
UUACGGCCUGGGCUACACACGUGCUACAAUGGUCGGUACAAAGGGUUAGCCAAGCCGCGAGGUGGAGCUAAUCCCAUAAAACCGAAUCGUAGUCCGGAUCGCAGUCUGCAACUCGACUGCGUGAAGUCGGAAUCGCUAGUAAUCGUGAAUCAGAAUGUCACGGUGAAUACGUUCCCGGGCCUU